rnacentral:lncRNA from 1 species
CAGCCACAUGCGGGGUGCGAGUGGUGCGGGCGCUGGGGUCCCUUGUCCUAGGUGAAAUUACCCUCUGCUUUCGUCCCCGCGCUUGAGGGAGGAAGGCUUUCAGGUCCAAAAUGUGCCCUGCUCCUUCCUUCUAAGUUGUUCAUCAGAACAAGCUGUUGUUCCUGAGAGGAAGGAGAGAAGCCAGUAUCUCCUUGUGGAACACUGCUUUGUCUUUAUGUUGCCAUUCUCGAGAGCUCCUGUUGCCAAGAGGAAUUUCUUGAUUUAACGAAAAACCAGUCAUAUAUGACAUGGCAGUAUGCACCAGAGGCUUUCCCACCACCAGCCUGGAGCAGGCAGGGCUGGUUCUUUGAGCCCGAGGGAAACGAAAUGGUGACCUGAAGUUGUUAUGUCACAGGUCCCUAUGCUCAAUGAUUCCAGCAAGGGUUUCUGUGCCAAGCCUACCUUCAAACGGGUGGCAAAAAUGUGCCCAACCCUGACUUUCAAUCCAUUAUGAAUUGUCACCACCACUGCACGCUGGGCCUGACACCCCAAAAAAGCCAGAAGAUGACUCUGGAACUGAAGCACGGUGUUCCAGGAGGAAUCUCCACCAACCUGACUUGAGCUCAGUGUGGAACUGCAGUACCUAAACAUGGAGGAAGAAGAAUAUUUCUGUGAGGUGCAAGAAGAAUAUUUGCACCUAUCCAAGAAAAACUACUGAUUCAGAACAUAACUGAAAA